GCUGGCGGCAGGCUUAACACAUGCAAGUCGAGCGCCCGUAGCAAUACGGGAGCGGCAGACGGGAGAGUAACACGUGGGAACGUACCCUUCGGUUCGGAAUAACCCAGGGAAACUUGGGCUAAUACCGGAUACGUCCGUAAGGAGAAAGAUUUAUUGCCGAGGGAUCGGCCCGCGUCCGAUUAGCUAGUUGGUGAGGUAAUGGCUCACCAAGGCGACGAUCGGUAGCUGGUCUGAGAGGAUGAUCAGCCUCACUGGGACUGAGACACGGCCCAGACUCCUACGGGAGGCAGCAGUGGGGAAUAUUGGACAAUGGGCGCAAGCCUGAUCCAGCCAUGCCGCGUGGGUGAUGACGGCCUUAGGGUUGUAAAGCCCUUUCGGCGGGGAAGAUAAUGACGGUACCCGCAGAAGAAGCCCCGGCUAACUUCGUGCCAGCAGCCGCGGUAAUACGAAGGGGGCUAGCGUUGCUCGGAAUCACUGGGCGUAAAGCGCACGU
rnacentral:rRNA from 1 species